rnacentral:rRNA from 1 species
GAUGAACGCUGGCGGCGUGCCUAAUACAUGCAAGUCGAGCGAACAGACGAGGAGCUUGCUCCUCUGAUGUUAGCGGCGGACGGGUGAGUAACACGUGGAUAACCUACCUAUAAGACUGGGAUAACUUCGGGAAACCGGAGCUAAUACCGGAUAAUAUUUUGAACCGCAUGGUUCAAUAGUGAAAGACGGUUUUGCUGUCACUUAUAGAUGGAUCCGCGCUGCAUUAGCUAGUUGGUAAGGUAACGGCUUACCAAGGCAACGAUGCGUAGCCGACCUGAGAGGGUGAUCGGCCACACUGGAACUGAGACACGGUCCAGACUCCUACGGGAGGCAGCAGUAGGGAAUCUUCCGCAAUGGGCGAAAGCCUGACGGAGCAACGCCGCGUGAGUGAUGAAGGUCUUCGGAUCGUAAAACUCUGUUAUUAGGGAAGAACAAAUGUGUAAGUAACUGUGCACAUCUUGACGGUACCUAAUCAGAAAGCCACGGCUAACUACGUG